rnacentral:rRNA from 1 species
AUACGGAGGGUGCAAGCGUUAAUCGGAAUUACUGGGCGUAAAGCGUACGUAGGCGGUUAUUUAAGUCAGAUGUGAAAGCCCCGGGCUUAACUUGGGAACUGCAUUUGAAACUGGGUAACUAGAAUUUAGUAGAGGGGAGUGGAAUUUCAGGUGUAGCGGUGAAAUGCGUAGAGAUCUGAAGGAACACCAGUGGCGAAGGCGACUCCCUGGACUAGAACUGACGCUGAGGUACGAAAGCGUGGGUAGCAAACAGGAUUAGAAACCCCGGUAGUCC